rnacentral:lncRNA from 1 species
CCCACUGUGCUGACAAUGGGUGUGAGCAGACUUCUGUAGCUUUUAUGUACAAGGAAGACCAAAACAGGUCUUGUUCAUCUUCAUCUAGGAAUUGAAUGUUUGAUAUUUACAAAUAUUUUCUGAAUACACUGUAAAAUUCUACUCCUUAUAUUGUUUUACUUAUAUUUCUUAAUACAUAAUUCAUUUAUUCUUUCAAAAUCAUUUUAAUAGGGAAAUGCAAAUACUCACUCUCGUAUCGUUUAAAGUAUAUGUCAUGCUGCAAUUUUCAAUUGUAUAAAUUCAUUUAUUCUUUCAAAAUUAUUUUAAUAAGGAAAUUCAAAUACUCACUCUCGUAUCGUUUAAAGUAUACGUCAUGCUGCAAUUUUCAACUGUAUCUUCAUUGACAAUGAGGCAUUAACAAACACGAAGACUGAAUUCAUGGCUUUAUGGGAUGGUUUUACCACAGAUUGUAGGUUCAUUCCUUAAUGAGAUGAUUUCCUUAUUAGUAGCUUUCAUUCACCAAUCACCACUCAUUUGCUGCAAAAUUUUCUCAGCAAGUUAUGCAAUUUGAGAUGGUCAUGUCUCUUAGCUAGUUAAUGUGGUCUAGUGAGAAAGUUUUGUGACUUUAUUUACUGAGAUAAUGCCCAGGUUAUGGUACUUGCUGCUACUAAUAGGCCAUCUGAGCUUGAUGAAGCAAUUCUUCGACGCCUUCCUCAGUCCUUUGAGAUCAGUAUGCCUGACUGCAAAGAGAGCUGAGAUUUUGAAGGUUAUUCUGAGGGGCGAGAAGGUACAAGAUAACGUUGACGCAAUUCUUCGACGCCUUCCUGAGGCCUUUUGAGAUCAGUAUGCCUGACUGCAAAGAGAGAGCUGAGGUUUUGAAGGUUAUUCUGAGGGGCGAGAAGGUACAAGAUAACGUUGACUAUAACCGCAUUGUUGGAUUGUGUGAUGGAUACAUUGGUUCAGAUCUUCUUGAGCUCUGUUAAAAAGCUGCCUACUUUCCCAUCCGGGACCUGCUUGAUGAUGAGAAGAGUGGAAAGCAAUCUGCGGUUAUGUUCGUGGGACCAACCUACCAAUUCCUGAAAUGUUUCCUAACAUGUUUCCUUUAGCAUCGGGCCAGGUACUGUCAGCACUCCCUUUUCAGUUGUGUGAAUUCGAUGCUUUUAUCUCAAUAUGCCGUGAUGAUAAAAAUGGAAUGUCAAUCCUAUUGAGACAAGCUAAGAAAUAAAGUGCACAUAAACCUGGAUAGAGGAGCUUGUAGCAGAUAUCAAGUUUGAUAUCACAUGGUUUUUGUUGUGGAACUUUAGUGUUUCAUAUCUUAAGCAUGUUUAAUUGUUCCAUUCAUAGAAAAAGAAGUAAUCUUGUAUUUUUCAUUAACUAUCCUCUGGUUAGGAAAUGGAAAAGU